rnacentral:rRNA from 1 species
AGAACGAACGCUGGCGGCAUGCCUAAUACAUGCAAGUCGAACGAAGGCUUCGGCCUUAGUGGCGCACGGGUGCGUAACGCGUGGGAAUCUGCCCCUUGGUUCGGAAUAACAGUUGGAAACGACUGCUAAUACCGGAUGAUGACGAAAGUCCAAAGAUUUAUCGCCAAGGGAUGAGCCCGCGUAGGAUUAGCUAGUUGGUGAGGUAAAGGCUCACCAAGGCGACGAUCCUUAGCUGGUCUGAGAGGAUGAUCAGCCACACUGGGACUGAGACACGGCCCAGACUCCUACGGGAGGCAGCAGUAGGGAAUAUUGGACAAUGGGCGAAAGCCUGAUCCAGCAAUGCCGCGUGAGUGAUGAAGGCCUUAGGUUGUAAAGCUCUUUACCCGAGAUGAUAAUGACAGUAGUCGGGAAGAAUAACGCCCCGGACUAACCUCCGCGCCAGCAGCCGC